rnacentral:rRNA from 1 species
CUACGGGAUGCACCAGUGAGGAAUAUUGGGCAAUGGGCGAAAGCCUGACCCAGCAACGCCGCGUGAGGGAAGAAGCUCUACGGAGUGUAAACCUCUGUUAGGAGGGACGAAUGCCGUAAUGGUAAAUAAUUAUUACGGAGAGACGGUACCUCCAAAGAAAGCCCCGGCUAACACCGUGCCGGCAGCCGCGGUAAUACGGGGGGGGCAAGCGUUGUCCGGAAUUACUGGGCGUAAAGGGCGUGCAGGCGGAUAGAUCAGUCUGGGGUGAAAUCCUACAGCUUAACUGUAGAACUGCCUUUGAUACUGUCUGUCUUGAGUUCGGGAGAGGGAAGCGGAAUUCCUGGUGUAGCGGUGAAAUGCGUAGAUAUCAGGAAGAACACCGGUAGCGAAGGCGGCUUCCUGGCCCGAUACUGACGCUGAAGCGCGAAAGCGUGGGGAGCAAACAGGAUUAGAUACCCUCGUAGUC